GACGAACCGUGCGAACGUUGUUCGGAAUCACUGGGCUUAAAGGGCGCGUAGGCGGGCCGCCAAGUCUGUGGUGAAAUCCCCCCGGCUCAACCGGGGGAACGGCCGCGGAUACUGGAGGUCUCGAGGGAGGUAGGGGCAUGCGGAACUACGGGUGGAGCGGUGAAAUGCGUUGAUAUCCGUAGGAACUCCGGGUGGGCGAAGGC
rnacentral:rRNA from 1 species